rnacentral:lncRNA from 1 species
CUGACCUCGUGAUCCGCCUGCCUCGGCCUCCCAAAGUGCUGGGAUUACAGGCGUGAGCCACCGCGCCCGGCCGCUGCUUUAAGUUCUUAACACGUCCUCACCGCGGCUCAGCUCACUGUACGGCCCCUGCAUAGAGAGGGGAGGGCAGGGGCCAUGAUACUGAACUCACAGCUCUGGGCAUUUCUGAAGUCUGGCCCUUGAAGCUUUUCCUAGAGCAAAUUGUUUUCUUCUCCCCUUCAGGAAACUGAAAAUUCACACAGCAGCCGUGGGAGUCAGAGUAGCAAAGGCUUUGAGAUCACAUAGACCUGGGACACGUGCUUGCUUUGUGAUUACGGGUGCGGGGACUGCUUGCCAACCCAUGGCAACUCACCUGUAGCGCAUGGAGAUUUGGGGGUAAACCCAGUGAUGCUGAGUAUGUGGGCUGCCCAAGCUGGGUGGCAACCAACCCCAGCAUUGAAUGUGCUGAGAGCUGGACCGGUGGAUGUCCCCACUGCCCUGAGGCAGGUCCAGGAGAAGGCUCCUACCUGCUGUGCAGAGGGCAAGCCCCAAGUCAAGACUCCCAAAAUGUUACCAGAUGUCAGGCAUGAAAUAUACACCCCUGGCAAGCUCUGCCAUGCACAGGAGUCAUGCUGCUUUCAAUCCACGGGAGAGCCGGACACGAGCGUUCCAAGGCAGGAGCAGAACUCCAUGUUGGCCAUUAUAAAGACAAGAUUCCUUUUCCCCCGCUUUUUAUAGCCUCUCUGGGUAAGAUGUGUCUGGAAGGAGGUGUGGGCCAGGAAAGAGCAUAUGUCUGAUGCCUGGGAUUCCAGGACAGAAAGUACAGCCGACUCCAAGCUCUUGGGAUGGGAUUGGAGGGUCUCAAAACCUUGCCAGCUUUGGAGUCAGAGAGAAAAGAGUCCCAACCCCAGAUUUAUCAUUUGCUAACAAAUGUGACCUUGGGCAAAUCAGCUCACCUCUCUGGCCCUCAACAGAGAUAAUCCUGGGACCUAUUUCACAGUCAUGGAGAGGAUUAAAUGGGAAGAGGAAUAAAAGGAGUUUGGAGAAGUGCCCAGGACAUAGUAUGCACUGAGCAAAUUCCGUAGUAAGAGGAGUAUUAGUAAUAGCUACUAUUGAUUAGGUGGUGUUGUGAGUUGAACAGUGUUCCCCCAAAAUUCAUGUCCACCCAGAGACACAGAAUGUGACCAUUUGUGGAAAUAGGGUCUUUGCAAAUGUAAUUAGUUAAGAUGAGGUCAUACUAGAUUAGGGUAGGCCCUAAGUCUAA